rnacentral:rRNA from 1 species
GAUGAACGCUGGCGGCGUGCCUAAUACAUGCAAGUCGAGCGAACGGAUUAAGAGCUUGCUCUUAUGAAGUUAGCGGCGGACGGGUGAGUAACACGUGGGUAACCUGCCCAUAAGACUGGGAUAACUCCGGGAAACCGGGGCUAAUACCGGAUAACAUUUUGAACCGCAUGGUUCGAAAUUGAAAGGCGGCUUCGGCUGUCACUUAUGGAUGGACCCGCGUCGCAUUAGCUAGUUGGUGAGGUAACGGCUCACCAAGGCAACGAUGCGUAGCCGACCUGAGAGGGUGAUCGGCCACACUGGGACUGAGACACGGCCCAGACACCUACGGGAGGCAGCAGUAGGGAAUCUUCCGCAAUGGACGAAAGUCUGACGGAGCAACGCCGCGUGAGUGAUGAAGGCUUUCGGGUCGUAAAACUCUGUUGUUAGGGAAGAACAAGUGCUAGUUGAAUAAGCUGGCACCUUGACGGUACCUAACCAGAAAGCCACGGCUAACUACGUGCCAGCCGCCGCCGUAA